CUACGGGAGGCAGCAGUGGGGAAUAUUGGACAAUGGGCGCAAGCCUGAUCCAGCCAUCCCGCGUGAGUGAAGAAGGCCUUCGGGUUGUAAAGCUCUUUUGUCCGGAAAGAAAAGCUUCCGUUUAAUACUCGGGAGUCAUGACGGUACCGGAAGAAUAAGCACCGGCUAACUUUGUGCCAGCAGCCGCGGUAAUACGAAGGGUGCAAGCGUUAUUCGGAAUUACUGGGCGUAAAGCGUGCGUAGGUGGUUCGUUAAGUCUGAUGUGAAAGCCCUGGGCUCAACCUGGGAAUGGCAUUGGAUACUGGCGGACUAGAGUGCGGUAGAGGACGGUGGAAUUCCCGGUGUAGCAGUGAAAUGCGUAGAGAUCGGGAGGAACAUCUGUGGCGAAGGCGGCCAUCUGGGCCAGCACUGACACUGAGGCACGAAAGCGUGGGGAGCAAACAGGAUUAGAUACCCUGGUAGUCCACGCCCUAAACGAUGCGAACUGGAUGUUGGGAGCAACUAGGCUCUCAGUAUCGAAGCUAACGCGUUAAGUUCUCCGCCUGG
rnacentral:rRNA from 1 species